AAGGCGUCACAGAAGAAGAUGUUCUCCCCCAUCAUCUCCGGUACGAGCCCCUCAAGGUCAUCACCGACCACAAUCCAAGCGGUCGUCAUCAGGUUGACCCAAAUUUCAAAAGAGGCGGAGGAGACCACAGUAGUGAUCCAUUUGAGGCUACGUCACCGAAUAUAUCGGUGUAGGUGACAAUGAAGAAGUGCAGCUAUUUUACAUUGUCGAUGAGUCUGAAAGAGCUCCUGCAGACGAUCCUCUGUUGCUAUGGUUCAAUGGAGGCCCAGGUUGCUCUGGUCUUGCUGGAUUCUCUUUUGAGAGUGGUAUUUUCUCGUCCUUCAUUACAUCAGUUUCUGAAAACAUGUUGCACAAAGCUAUGAAUUUCUGCAGAAGGUAUGCAUCUUAUACAAUCUAUUUGUAAGAAAACUAGUGGCAUUUAUUCCACAGAUUUAAUGAAUAGUCUGCUUUGAAUUUGACAAUUCGUGUUGUCAUGCAGUGGCUGGAGGCACACCCUGCGGAAAAUAUGCUCUACAUUGGUGGUGACUCCUUCUCUGGCAUAAUUGUGCCAAUGAUUGUGUAACAAAUAUUGGAUGGUAUGCUACUGUCAGCCAAUAACUAUUCUUCUUCCUUUCUUGCUUUGCAUUCGUGAUUCGUUUCAUCUAUUCAUUUUUGUUAAUCAUAAUAGUUUACCCUAAUUUAAUCACCAAAUGAUGGACCUGAUUGAAAUUGAAAAGAGUAGUAGCUUAUGGCUAGUCCUACUUCCUCAUGAUGUUGCAGGUAAUGAAAAUGGAACUUUGCCUCUAAUGAAUCUCAAGGUAUGUGGAUCUAACUGCAGAAAAUUGGAUUAAUUAAGAUAGGAAGUGAACGCCUUAUACCUGGAAACCAGUCAUAGAUUAUUGUUUAGAGCAUUGUAAAUUCUCAGUUUUUGUAAAUUGUUAUCUAUAUUAUGUUCUUGAACUCUUAUUAGGGAUAUGUAAUUGGGAACCCAGUGACAGAUUCAUUCAUUGAUGCAAAUG